rnacentral:rRNA from 1 species
UACGGAGGGUGCGAGCGUUUGUCCGGAAUCACUGGGCGUAAAGGGCGCGUAGGUGGCCUGGUAAGUGUGUGGUGAAAGCCCGGGGCUCAACCCCGGGUCGGCCAUGCAAACUGCGAGGCUGGAGCACUGUAGAGGCAGGCGGAAUUCCGGGUGUAGCGGUGGAAUGCGUAGAGAUCCGGAAGAACACCGGUGGCGAAGGCGGCCUGCUGGGCAGUAGCUGACACUGAGGCGCGACAGCGUGGGGAGCAAACAGG